GCACCAACAAGAGGGUGGUCGGCGCGGACGCCAAGUCCGGUGGGAAGUACCUUGACUUUGAGUUCUUUUAGAGUUUGCGCCUUAGCGGCAGACCUUUUGUUUGCAUACUGUUGGUGUUGUUGGGUCAGUGUGGUGUUGUGAUUUCUACGGUGCUGUUUAUGUCAGUCACCGCUGUUACAAAUUUCUUGCAUCUGAUCUGGCCAAGAUUAGCUAGUAGUGUGUUUGAUCUCCAUAUCCUGAUGGAAAUAGCCUGUCUCUGUUUCUAAACAUGUUUUGCGUGCUACAGAUUUUGCAUUGCAGAAACACUCUGAAGAGUGGCAUCUUCGGGGUUUUGCGCCAUCACUAGGGCAAACAGGCAUUCUGACUGACCAGUUCCCCUCGUAUUGGUUACACCCCCACCCUGUUGUUUAUUUCCUGGCUGUAGAAUUAAAGAAUAUAAUUGUAGCUAUGGUAUGUAUGUUUAUUUCGGUGAGUUAUCCCUUUCACAAAGAAACAGGAGAUGCAACGAAUGAUCU
rnacentral:lncRNA from 1 species